rnacentral:rRNA from 1 species
UUUGUUAUUAUUAUUUUUGCUGCACACGAAAAACAUGACGCAUGUGCGCGGUAAAUAUCGAACGCAUGUGCGUGGUAAAAAUUAAACGCGGUUUCUUAUUUCUGACGUUUGCGAUGAGUUGCAGCUUGCGGAUCGAUAUUGACGCGUGUAGGGCGGCGUUACGGUGGGAGAGGCACCGCUUUCUGAAAGCGUUCGACGGCAUGUGAAAACUCAAGGCAAUGUGGCGACGGAGAGGGAGGGGUGAAAACUGUGGUAAACGUAGGAACGGUUGUUGAGGUGGAGAGAAAGUUGUAUGGUGAAGUAUCCAGCGGUCGUAAGGAAUGUACGGUAGAGUUUGUAGUGGAGCUGGGAGGGGCGAGCAUAAGGGACGAAGGGUUAAGAAACAUGUCGGAUGCCGAUCAUACCAGCACUAAAGCACCGGAUCGUGCCGAUCAUACCAGCACUAAAGCACCGGAUCCCAUCAGAACUCCGAAGUUAAGCGUGCUUGGGCGAGAGUAGUACUAGGAUAGGUGCUUGGGCGAGAGUAGUACUAGGAUAGGUGACCUCUUGGGAAGUCUUCGUGUUGCAUUCCC